rnacentral:lncRNA from 1 species
UGAAUACUGAGAAGUGAGUCUGUAGAAUAAAUCAGAGAUUGAUUUAUCAGUUAUUGAUUAUGUAAUUGGAGUAUUGAGUGAUUGAAUUAUAUGAGAAGUUAUUGGAAGAUUGAUUAUGGAUGGAAGAUUAUGAUUAUUGUUUAUUGAGAGUUGUGUGUGUGUUUUGAUAGAGGAAGUCUGUGAUUACAAGAAUUAUGUGAAUUCAGAUUGAUUAGAGUGAAGUUUGUUAUUCUUGGUAUUGGAUGGAAUUUAUUGAGUUUUGAGCGGUCUUUUGAGAGUGCAAGGUUGUACAUUGUGGUUAUCAUUUGAUGAAGGAGUAUUGUUAUUGGGAGGAAGUAUUGUAGUAUUUCUUAGCGUUUUAGUGGUUCGAAAUAUAAUUAAUUGUGUGAUCCUAACAAGUGAAAUUCAUGCACUUAGUCUUUUCCUGUGUUCGAAUUUCCUUACACAUGUUUAUU